AGGGUGUAAACGCUGCGGGCUUGGUGUUGGGGGUCCUUAGUGGGCGCCCAGUGCCGGAGAGAAGUUGUUAAGCCUGCUGCUUGGGGAGUAUGUCCGCAAGGAUGAAACUUAAAGGAAUUGGCGGGGGAGCACCGCAACGGGAGGAGCGUGCGGUUCAAUUGGAUUCAACGCCGAAAAACUCACCAGGAGCGACAGCAGUAUGAUUGCCAGGUUGAUGACCUUGCUUGACAAGCUGAGAGGUGGUGCAUGGCGUAGUCGUGU
rnacentral:rRNA from 1 species